rnacentral:rRNA from 1 species
AGCUCCAAUAGCGUAUAUUAAAGUUGUUGCAGUUAAAAAGCUCGUAGUUGAAUUUCUGGCCGGCGCUGUUCACGGCUCUCGCAGUCGGUUCAGGAGCCUGGUCAUCCGUAUGGGAAGCUAGCACGUCCUUCAGUGGUCGGCUAGUGGAUCAUACACUUUACUUUGAAAAAAUUAGAGUGUUUCAGGCAGGCAAUUGCUUGGAUACUGCAGCAUGGAAUAAUGGAAUAGGACUUUGACCUAUUUGUUGGUUUCUUGAGGUCAAAGUAAUGAUUAAUAGGGACAGUUGGGGGCAUCCGUAUUUAAUUGUCAGAGGUGAAAUUCUUGGAUUUAUUAAAGACGAACUUAUGCGAAAGCAUUUGCCAAGGAUGUUUUCA